rnacentral:lncRNA from 1 species
UAGAAUUGCAAAAUUAAUUAUUGAAUUCACAAAAGUUAUUUUUGCACAUAAGUAAUUUUGUAUUCUUAUUUCAGAUAAGUUCAUAAUAGAUUAUACAGGUUCCUUGAUGAAAUAAUAUGAAAUUAUAUUAGCAUAUGAUGAAAUUUGAAAAAAAAGGAAGGACAGGAAUUUGGAGUACACAUGGCAAAAAAAAGAUAGAGUGACAAUUUAUAUGGAUGUAAAAUAAGUCAGGAUAAAGUAAUACAAAAAAAGCAGAACUGAAUCGAGUGAAAAAUAACAAGGCAGGACAAAGAUUAAAACGUAAAAAAAAAAUGCAGGACACAAUUUUUCAUCCUAGCCCCCCUCCCCUAAUAAUCAUAUGGUAGCUAGUUAAGCCUUCAUUAUUCAUUAUACAAACAAUUAGACGGUUGGUUUUCCCUUUUGAAUGAUUUUACACUAGCAAUUUUUGGGCCC